UGGGGAAUAUUGGACAAUGGGGGCAACCCUGAUCCAGCAAUGCCGCGUGUGUGAAGAAGGUCUUCGGAUUGUAAAGCACUUUCGACGGGGACGAUGAUGACGGUACCCGUAGAAGAAGCCCCGGCUAACUUCGUGCCAGCAGCCGCGGUAAUACGAAGGGGGCUAGCGUUGCUCGGAAUGACUGGGCGUAAAGGGCGUGUAGGCGGUUUACACAGUCAGAUGUGAAAUCCCCGGGCUUAACCUGGGAGCUGCAUUUGAUACGUGUAGACUAGAGUGUGAGAGAGGGUUGUGGAAUUCCCAGUGUAGAGGUGAAAUUCGU
rnacentral:rRNA from 1 species